CCAGACUCCUACGGGAGGCAGCAGUGGGGAAUAUUGCACAAUGGGGGAAACCCUGAUGCAGCGACGCCGCGUGAGUGAAGAAGUAUUUCGGUAUGUAAAGCUCUAUCAGCAGGGAAGAAAUAGCGACCUUUGGGUCGCCAGACGGUACCUGACCAAGAAGCCCCGGCUAACUACGUGCCAGCAGCCGCGGUAAUACGUAGGGGGCAAGCGUUAUCCGGAAUUACUGGGUGUAAAGGGAGCGUAGACGGUGAUGCAAGUCUGGAGUGAAAGGCGGGGGCCCAACCCCCGGACUGCUCUGGAAACUGUGCGGCUGGAGUGCAGGAGGGGUAAGCGGAAUUCCUAGUGUAGCGGUGAAAUGCGUAGAUAUUAGGAGGAACACCGGUGGCGAAGGCGGCUUACUGGACUGUAACUGACGUUGAGGCUCGAAAGCGUGGGGAGCAAACAGGAUUAGAUACCCCGGUAAG
rnacentral:rRNA from 1 species